UACGUAGGUGGCAAGCGUUGUCCGGGAUUAUUGGGCGUAAAGGGCUCGUAGGCGGUUUGUCGCGUCGGGAGUGAAAACCAGGUGCUUAACACUUGGCUUGCUUUCGAUACGGGCAGGCUGGGGGUAUGCAGGGGAGAACGGAAUUCCUGGUGUAGCGGUGAAAUGCGCAGAUAUCAGGAAGAACACCGGUGGCGAAGGCGGUUCUCUGGGCAUUACCUGACGCUGAGGAGCGAAAGUGUGGGGAGCGAACAGG
rnacentral:misc_RNA from 1 species